AUCCUACUCCCUCCGUCCGGAAAUACUUGCCAUCAAAAUGGAUAAAAGAGGAUGGAUCUAGACAUAUUUUAGUUUUAGAUACAUCUCGUUUUAUCUAUUAUGAUGACAAGUAUUUUCGGACGGAGGGAGUACUAG
rfam:Triticum aestivum genome assembly, contig: Triticum_aestivum_CS42_TGACv1_scaffold_146654_2BS